rnacentral:rRNA from 1 species
GUCUCUUCGGAGGCAGUGGCAGACGGGUGAGUAACGCGUGGGAACAUACCUUUCGGUACGGAACAACAGUUGGAAACGACUGCUAAUACCGUAUACGCCCUGAGGGGGAAAGAUUUAUCGCCGAGAGAUUGGCCCGCGUUGGAUUAGCUAGUUGGUGGGGUAAUGGCCUACCAAGGCGACGAUCCAUAGCUGGUCUGAGAGGAUGAUCAGCCACACUGGGACUGAGACACGGCCCAGACUCCUACGGGAGGCAGCAGUGGGGAAUAUUGGACAAUGGGCGCAAGCCUGAUCCAGCCAUGCCGCGUGAGUGAUGAAGGCCUUAGGGUUGUAAAGCUCUUUCGCCGGUGAAGAUAAUGACGGUAACCGGUAAAGAAGCCCCGGCUAACUUCGUGCCAGCAGCCGCGGUAAUACGAAGGGGGCUAGCGUUGUUCGGAAUUACUGGGCGUAAAGCGCACGUAGGCUGACUUUUAAGUCAGGGGUGAAAUCCCGGGGCUCAACCUCGGAACUGCCUUUGAUACUGGAAGUCUUGAGUCCGAGAGAGGUGAGUGGAACUCCGAGUGUAGAGGUGAAUUUCGUAGAUAUUCGGAAGAACACCAGUGGCGAACGCGGCUCACUGGCUCGGUACUGACGCUGAGUGCGAAAGCGUGGGGAGCAAACAGG